ACGAGACGCUGAUGUCGGCAGGUGGAUGAUUGAUUCUGCUAGCGCUCUCACUGGAUCUCCUCAACCAAACAAGUAGCUAAAGGAAAUCAAUAUCAGAUCCACCUCUAGCUGACCAUGUCUGAACCGGGUUCUGGCUGUGGUGUUCCCGCCCAGAGAAGCUCACAGCGGGUUCCAGAGAUGGUGUCAGUGAGGCUGGAGGACUGCAGUCAAACAGUGGAACUCAAUGUGAUUGUCAAAGAGGAGGAGGGAUAGAGCGAGGACAGAAACAGUGACUCCGUUGACUCAGGAGAGAGCUCGAACCCAGGCUCAGACAGCAAGCCCAGUCCCACAGCAUCAGGAAACCGCAGACAGAAGCCCCAACCCUGCUGUAGUGACAGUUGUAUUUAUCCAACUCGCCACAAAUCACACCAACAAACUCCCAAAAUAAAUAAGACUUACUUUUGCCAUCAAUGUGGGAAGAGUUUUCAGACACCAAGCAAGCUAAAGGCUCACCAGAGAAUGCACAUUGGAGAGAAUCCUUACCCCUGCUCCCAGUGUGAGAAGAGCUUCAAUCAUUCAGGAAGACUUAAGGACCAUCAAAGAGUACAUACUGGGGAGAAGCCGUACCACUGCUCUCUUUGUGAGAAGAGUUUCAGUCAGUUAGGAAACCUGAAGACUCAUCAGAAAAAUCACAAGCCUUACCACUGCUCCCAAUGUGGGAAGAGUUUCAGUGAGAAAGUAAAACUUACGGGACACGAGAGAGCACAUAAUGGAGAGAAACCUUACCGCUGUACCCAAUGUGGGAAAAGCUUAAAUUAUUAUUCAGUACUUAAGGAACAUCAAAGAGUACAUACAGGGGAGAAGCCGUACCAUUGCACACUUUGUGGGAAGAGUUUCAGUUGGGCAACAAACAUAAGGAAUCAUCAGUUAAGACACAUUGGAGAGAAACCUACAUGUACUCUCAAUGUGAUUGUCAAAGAGGAGGAGGGUGAACAGAGCCACAUUAAGGCAGAAGAGAGAGAAGUAGAGGAAGAGGCUACAUAAGCUAACUCCAUAGGAAUGUAAAGGCACACCUCCUAUCCAUUGCAAUGCUGUCUUCUGUGACAGCCCUCAAUGGUGCUGCCCAUGCCCUAUCUCUUAAAGAAAUCCAUAUCUAUUCUACUAUUCUAAGUGUAUUGGAAGGUAGAAAAUAAACUCAAAAAGGUACAUACCACCACCUACUUUGUUAGUGUACAAAGCCAAGAUUGGUGAUUUACUGCCAGCUGCAGUUAUGGAACGUUAGCUCCAUAUAAUUCAUUGGUUGAUCCCUCCUGCUGACCUGGAUGGAAUUCUGUGAUCCUUCCUAAACGCAUAAGGGGACCACGUUAGAAACAAGUGAUUUUCGCUUUAACGUGUUAUCCACUGGAUUGUACUCUGUGCUUGUUUUUUCUCAGUAAAUCAAUAGUAAGUCCCACCCAGUUGACUACUUUAAAAUGUUGAAAACCCUCAAUGGCGCUGCCUGUAAGCCUUCUAUCCACCUCUAUGGUGGAGAACAAAGUGCUGCUGGAUAUGUAUGACACAGUCCACUUUAAAAACAUAUUUGUGUUUUCCACCCCGGUUUACCUGAGACAGGUAGUAAAGUUUUUAUUUUUUUCUCUACUGGCUCUGGUGUAUUCCAUAUACAUUGCACGAGGGACAAUGGAGGGGGAGGAACACGAAGUGCUGCUGGAUUUAUACGACACAGUCCCUCUCAAAAACUAAACAUAUUUGGUUAGUAGAGACCUUAAUGAAUCAUUUCCGACCCACUUUAACUGAGACAGGUCCUACAGACAGGUCCUACAGCCCAAUAUUUUCAACAUUGUAUUUUUCAAUGGACAGACUAGGACAGAAGAGCUGGCUCCCUCCAAAGGAAGGUUGGUGGACCAAGGUCAGACUAGGACAGAAGAGCUGGCUCCCUCCAAAGGAAGGUUGGUGGACCAAGGCCAGACUAGGACAGAAGAGGUGGCUCCCUCCAAAGGAAGGUUUGUGGACCAAGGUUCCAAGGUCAGGCUAGGACAGAAGAGGUGGCUCCAAUACCAAAUCGUCCCCUAAGCCCUGCACACCAUGUACUUGUGUAGAUCUGAGAGGAAUUGAUAACACUGUAGAGGGGGGGGGACCAUUGUUAAUUGAAUUCAUCAUUCCAUUUGGUUGACAUUCAUGUGAAUGGUUUGUGUCUGGACUUUAUGGUUUUCUUGCAUUGUUGUAAAUACAGUGCCUACAGUGCUUUCAGAAAGUAUUCAUACCCCUUGACUUAUUCCACAUUUUGUUGUAUUACAGCCUGAAUUAAAAAUUGAAAACAUGUUUUUAGAAA